rnacentral:rRNA from 1 species
CUAUGCGCCUUGCCAGCCCGCUCAGGUGUGCCAGCCGCCGCGGUAAUACAGAGGUCUCAAGCGUUGUUCGGAAUCACUGGGCGUAAAGCGCGCGUAGGCGGUUUCGUAAGUCGUGUGUGAAAGGCGGGGGCUCAACCCCCGGACUGCACAUGAUACUGCGAGACUAGAGUAAUGGAGGGGGAACCGGAAUUCUCGGUGUAGCAGUGAAAUGCGUAGAUAUCGAGAGGAACACUCGUGGCGAAGGCGGGUUCCUGGACAUUAACUGACGCUGAGCACGAAGGCCAGGGAGUGAAAGGG